AGGCAUAUAGCUCAGGGUAAAGCACGUGCUUGGCAUGCACGAGGUUCUGGGUUCAACCCCAGUGCCUCUG
rnacentral:tRNA from 1 species